UACGUAGGGGGCAAGCGUUGUCCGGAUUUAUUGGGCGUAAAGAGCUCGUAGGUGGUUCGGUAAGUCGGAUGUGAAAUCUCCAGGCUCAACCUGGAGGGGUCAUUCGAUACUGCCGUGACUAGAGGUCGGUAGGGGAGUGUGGAAUUCCUGGUGGAGCGGUGAAAUGCGCAGAGUAUCAGGAGGAACACCCGUAGCGAAGGCGGCACUCUGGGCCGAUACUGACACUGAGGAGCGAAAGCGUGGGGAGCGAACAGG
rnacentral:rRNA from 1 species